GACGAACGCUGGCGGCGUGCUUAACACAUGCAAGUCGAGCGGUAAGGCCCUUUCGGGGGUACACGAGCGGCGAACGGGUGAGUAACACGUGGGUGACCUGCCCUCAGCUCUGGGAUAAGCCUGGGAAACCGGGCCUAAUACUGGAUAUGACUCCAUGACGCAUGUUGUGGGGUGGAAAGCCUUGUGCGGCUGAGGAUGGGCCCGCGGCCUAUCAGCUUGUUGGUGGGGUGANGGCCUACCAAGGCGACGACGGGUAGCCGGCCUGAGAGGGCGACCGGCCACACUGGGACUGAGACACGGCCCAGACUCCUACGGGAGGCAGCAGUGGGGAAUCUUGCGCAAUGGGCGAAAGCCUGACGCAGCGACGCCGCGUGAGGGAUGACGGCCUGGU
rnacentral:rRNA from 1 species